GAUGAACGCUGGCGGCGUGCCUAAUACAUGCAAGUCGAGCGAACGGACGAGAAGCUUGCUUCUCUGAUGUUAGCGGCGGACGGGUGAGUAACACGUGGAUAACCUACCUAUAAGACUGGGAUAACUUCGGGAAACCGGAGCUAAUACCGGAUAAUAUUUUGAACCGCAUGGUUCAAAAGUGAAAGACGGUCUUGCUGUCACUUAUAGAUGGAUCCGCGCUGCAUUAGCUAGUUGGUAAGGUAACGGCUUACCAAGGCAACGAUGCAUAGCCGACCUGAGAGGGUGAUCGGCCACACUGGAACUGAGACACGGUCCAGACUCCUACGGGAGACAGCAGUAGGGAAUCUUCCGCAAUGGGCGAAAGCCUGACGGAGCAACGCCGCGUGAGUGAUGAAGGUCUUCGGAUCGUAAAACUCUGUUAUUAGGGAAGAACAUAUGUGUAAGUAACUGUGCACAUCUUGACGGUACCUAAUCAGAAGGCCACGGCUAACUACGUG
rnacentral:rRNA from 1 species